rnacentral:lncRNA from 1 species
AGAGUCACGCUGAUGGCGGAGGGACGGCAGCGCCAGGGCCACUGGAGGGCGCGGCUUCUAACAGGGGUGCGCCUUUCGGGUCAGGAGGCCUGCUGCCACUUUGGGAGGCGUGUGUGUGUAGGGGUGUGUGUAGGUGUGUAAGGGUGUGUAUGUAGGUGUAUGAGUGUAGGUGUGUGUGUAGGUGUAUGAGUGUAGGUUUGUAUGUGUAGGUGUAGGUUGUGUAGGUAUAGAUGUAUGUGGUGUGUGUAGGUGGUGUGUGUAGAUGUGUGUGGUGUGUGUAGGGGUGUGUGUGCAGGUGUGUAGGUGUAUGAGUGUGUAGGGGUGGUAUAUGCAGGGGUGUGUAUGUAGGUGUAUGAAUGUAGGUGUGUAUGUGUAGGUGUAGGUGUGGGUAGGUGUAGGUGUGUGGUGUGUGUAGGUGUGUAUGUGUAGGUGUAGGGGUGUGUGUGUAGGUGUGGUGGGUGUAGAUGUGUGUGUGGUGUGUGUGUAGGUGUAUGAGUGUGUAGGUGUGGUGUGUGUAAGGGUGUGUGUAGGUGUAUGAGUAUAGGUGUGGUGUGUGUAGGUGUGGGUGUAGAUGUGUGUGUGGUGUGUGUAGGGGUGUGUGUAGGUGUAUGAGUGUAGGUGUGGUGUGUGUAGGUGUGUGUGGUGGGUGUAGAUGUGUGUGUGGUGUGUGUAGGUGUAUGAGUGUGUAGGUGUGAUGUGUGUAGGGGUGUGUGUAGGUGUAUGAAUGUGUGUGUGUAGGUGUGUGUGGUGGGUGUAGAUAUGUGUGUGUGGUGUGUGUAGGGCUGUGUGUGUAGGUUUAUGAGUGGAGGUGUGUGUGGAGGUGUGUGGUGGGUGUAGAUGUGUGUGGUGUGUGUGUGGGGGUGUGUAGGUGUAUGGGUGUGUAGGUGUGGUGUGUAGGGCUGUGUGUGUAGGUGUAUGAGUGGAGGUGUGUGGAGGUGUGUGUGGUGGGUGUAGAUGUGUGUGUGGUGUGUGUAGGGGUGUGUGUGUAGGCGUAUGAGUGGAGGUGUGGUGUGUGUAGGUGUGGUGUGUGGAGGUGUGUGUGGUGGGUGUAGAUGUGUGUGUGUGGUGUGUGUGGGUGUGUGUGGUGUAUGGGUGUGUAGGUGUGGUGUGUGUAGGGCUGUGUGUAGGUGUAUGAGUGGAGGUGUGGUGUGUGGAGGUGUGUGUGGUGGGUGUAGAUGUGUGUGUGGUGUGGGGGUGUGUAGGUGUAUGAGUGUGUAGGUGUGGUGUGUGUAGGGGUGUGUGUAGGUGUAUGAGUGGAGGUAUGACGUGUGGAGGUGUGUGUGGUGGGUGUAGAUGUGUGUGUGGUGUGUGUAGGGGUGUGUGUAGGUGCAUGAGUGUGUAGGUGUGGUGUGUGUGUAGGGGUGUCUGUGUAGGUGUAUGAGUGUAGGUGUGUGUGGAGGUGGGUGUGUGUGUGUGUGUGUUGGGAGGGGAGGUGGAUGAGAACUUUGUGAUUCCAGUGACUGACACUCAUUCCUGAUUAGCAUCAUUAGAAUCACCAUCUG